rnacentral:rRNA from 1 species
UACGUAGGGGCCUAGCGUUGUCCGGAUUUAUUGGGCGUAAAGAGCUUGUAGGCGGUUUGUCGCGUCUGCUGUGAAAUUUCGGGGCUCAACCCCGAACUUGCAGUGGGUACGGGCAGACUAGAGUCCGGAAGGGGCGAGUGGAAUUCCUGGUGUAGCGGUGAAAUGCGCAGAUAUCAGGAGGAACACCGAUGGCGAAGGCAGCUCGCUGGGACGGUACUGACGCUGAGACGCGAAAGCGUGGGGAGCAAACAGG